rnacentral:rRNA from 1 species
GUGGGGAAUAUUCCGCAAUGGACGAAAGUCUGACGGAGCAACGCCGCGUGAGUGAAGAAGGUUUUCGGAUCGUAAAGCUCUUUCGUUAGGGACGAACGUGCUCUUUGUGAAUAAUGAGGAGUAAUGACGGUACCUAAAUAAGAAGCCACGGCUAACUACGUGCCAGCAGCCGCGGUAAUACGUAGGUGGCAAGCGUUGUCCGGAAUUAUUGGGCGUAAAGCGCGCGCAGGCGGGAUAUCAAGUCUGUCUUAAAAGUGCGAGGCUCAACCUCGUGAGGGGACAGAAACUGGUAUUCUUGAGUGUCGGAGAGGAAAGUGGAAUUCCAAGUGUAGCGGUGAAAUGCGUAGAGAUUUGGAAGAACACCAGUGGCGAAGGCGACUUUCUGGACGAUGUCUGACGCUGAGGCGCGAAAGCUAGGGGAGCGAACGGGAUUAGAAACCCUGGUAGUCC